rnacentral:lncRNA from 1 species
CGGCCCGCCGCCAUGUUGUUCCCUUGGUGCUGGACGUGAGGAGCCGGAGUUGGGCUGGAGCGGCGCUACGGCCUCGUGCCCGCGGGUGCCCGGCCUCGUCUCCUCUUUGCACCCAGCCGGGCCGGCCGGGAGCUCCCGGGCGUCCUGUGUGCGGCCGCGAGAAACUUCCUGCACUCCUAUUAUGAGCCUGGCACUGUGGUGA